GCCUCUCUGGGUCAGCAGUAAAACACCUGCUUUGUGUGCAGAAGGUCCCAGGUUCAAUCCCUGGCAUCGCCA
rnacentral:tRNA from 1 species